ensembl:lncRNA
UAUGCCACAGGUAUUUCAAAUACCAGCAGGGUCACCCAUGGUGGACAGGUCUCAGCGGAGAUUCCAGACCAAGACAGACUAGGAAGAAGGAUCUGGCCACCGAGUUCUGAAAAAAGUGGCCAUGAAAACCCUAUGAAUAGCAGCGGAGCAUCAUCUGAUACAGCACCGGAAGACAAAGAUUGUUGGCCUCUGGUCUAUAUGGAAAAGGAAAUUUCUUCAAGGAGGCUACGCCAUGGUGAGCUGCAGGGGUCUGGGAACGCUCUCUGGAGGAAACACUUUUGGAGAGAGUUUUACGAAGUGGACGGGUAAUAGAGAAGCAAAGAGAAAGGAAAAAAUUCCAUACUCUUAGAGUGGAAGGAAGCUUAGAGGCACCUGUGCAGCCUGUGGAAUCUGCCUGCCAGAUACCUGUUCGGACAGCCUCUGCUGGAACUUUUGUGGCGGGCCAUGAUGGCCAUUGAGUGCUUCCUCCUGGAAGACAGAAACCUGCUUCCCUGUGACUUCUGCUUGGCUGUUCUUCCAUGUGUCAACCCUCAGGGAUUCGGAAAGAUAAGUUAGCUUCUCCCAGAUGCUCUCUACACUGACUAAACUUCCCCUGCAACAGUUCUCAUAUACGGUUCUCAGGCUCUUGACCAUCGGAACCGGCCUCCUCUGAACACCCUCUUGGUUGUGAAUACCAAUUUCCAGGACAGCCCCACAAGCUGACAUCGCUGCUCCAAGGAUUUUGGUAUUCCGAGCAUCUUUAACUCCCUUUUCUCUCUUCCCCAGCUAUUUCCCUCAAGUGUAGUAUCUUUGAAAGAGCCCCAGCUUUAGCAUCACGGAGACCUUCAUAUAAAUCCUGGCUCCCCUAUUUACAUCUCUGUAAGCCUCAGUUUCCUCGUCUUUCAGAAACAGACUACAGGAUUACUAUGAGGACUAGAGGUGAUGGUUGUAAAGAGCCCAGGACACACUGGACACUCACUCAGUAGUAGUUAUCUUUAUCAUUCUAGCUAGCCACUGUGACUGACGAAGCCCAAUAUCGCAGGGCAAGCAGUUGCUAAGGCGAGCUUUGCUCCUUGCCGAAAGUCCCUGUAUCUGUUCCCAUAAAAAAUUUAUAAUGUCUUUUUCUGGGAAAAGCAAGGUCCUAAUUUGUGCCAACAGAGGUCUGAAUCCAAUUACAAGCUGCCCCUCGAGGUUGCAUGGCUCUCUCCGUGCUCAUUUUCAUCAGGUUCGUGAGAGCAGCUCCGUCUGCCUGCACAGUUCCGUGAUGCUGGCAUCUCUGUUUUGACCUCCGCCUGCCUUUCUGGCUCCUCGGAGCAGCACGAUAGGCUCUGAUGGGAACUCGUCCUGUAGACCUCACUCUGCUCCCUCACAUAGCUGGACCAUAAACCUGACAAUGCUCUGUAGCCAGGGCAACAUGGGGGCUCUGAGAUGCUGGAGACCAACCUCAUCCCCAUUGUAAUGCACCUUCUAUCCUCGACAGCUCCCCCGAAUAUACUUUUCCCUUCCUCACGAGGCCGUAGCAGAGAGACAACAACAGAUUCCAAAUACGAGUCCAGUAGCUGGACCAGGUGAAAAGCCAAGAAUAAAUGUGAAUUUAGAGACGGACUCCAGAAAUGUCUUUGAAACACUCAGUGUGAUCAGCAGAAUAAUGGCCCCCUAAAGAUGUCCACACUAAUGCC